AACGAACGCUGGCGGCAGGCUUAACACAUGCAAGUCGAGCGCCCCGCAAGGGGAGCGGCAGACGGGUGAGUAACGCGUGGGAAUCUACCCAUCUCUACGGAAUAACGCAUGGAAACGUGUGCUAAUACCGUAUACGUCCUUCGGGAGAAAGAUUUAUCGGGGAUGGAUGAGCCCGCGUUGGAUUAGCUAGUUGGUGGGGUAAAGGCCUACCAAGGCGACGAUGCAUAGCUGGUCUGAGAGGAUGAUCAGCCACACUGGGACUGAGACACGGCCCAGACUCCUACGGGAGGCAGCAGUGGGGAAUAUUGAACAAUGGGCGAAAGCCUGAUCCAGCCAUGCCGCGUGAGUGAUGAAGGCCCUAGGGUUGUAAAGCUCUUUCACCGGUAAAGAUAAGGACGGUAACCGGAGAAGAAGCCCCGGCUAACUUCGUGCCAGCAGCCGCCGUAAAAC
rnacentral:rRNA from 1 species